ensembl:lncRNA
GUUCCUGAGAGAUGAGGUUCACUAGAGCUCUCCUACAGAGCAUAGACCUGUACAUGCCGUUUUGCCUUCCCCUGUGAGUUGGGUCCCCGAGGUCCGACCCAGCUCCGGGGCAAGAGACCGAGAAAAGUUCUCCAGGAACCGCUUUUCGCCCAGGCUGGAAAACGCUGUGCACAGGAAGUAAGGCAAGCCAGCCUCCUGCAGGGAAAAAGAGGCCUUACUCUGCCUUGAGGAGCAGGCUGCCAGAGUGUGUGAGAGCUGACUUGUGCCUUACUGGCCUCUGGUCCGCCAUUGCCUGUUCAACAAUGCUAGGGCCCAGGCCUUCUUAGAGAAGGGUUUGGGUGCGGAUUUCUACAAACUGCCAAGGGCUACAGCAAUGAGAAUUCUCUCGGCGGUAAGGAAGAGCAUUGUAUGGAUUCUCCAGCUGUUUUCUGAACGACAGCGUCAAAGCUACACAGAGAGAAUCAGGCUCUCUGUGCCCCUAUGUUGGGUACGCAGCUUCUCACACAGAGGAGUCUCUAUAGGAGCCAAGAAAGUCCCUGAGAGAUGAGGUUCACUAGAGCUCUGCUACAGAGCAUAGACCUGUACAUGCCGUUUUGCCUUCCCCUGUGAGUUGGGUCCCCGAGGUCCGAUCCAGCUCCGGGGAAAC